rnacentral:rRNA from 1 species
UACGGGGGGGGCAAGCGUUGUUCGGAAUUACUGGGCGUAAAGGGCUCGUAGGCGGCCAACUAAGUCAGACGUGAAAUCCCUCGGCUUAACCGGGGAACUGCAUCUGAUACUGGAUGGCUUGAGAUUGGGAGAGGGAUGCGGAAUUCCAGGUGUAGUGGUGAAAUGCGUAGAUAUCUGGAGGAACACCGGUGGCGAAGGCGGCAUCCUGGACCAACACUGACGCUGAGGAGCGAAAGCCAGGGGAGCAAACGGG